UUCAAUGCGCUGUUUCCGCUUAGCGUCUACACACCUUAAUUCCUUAUAAGCUUACCAUAUCGUUUCGACUCGCAAAAGCAGGGGGAAAACAAGAGCUCUAUCGAGUUGUGUUUCAUAUAUCAAGUUUUAAUUCAGAGAACAUUGUCAGGAUGCAUGCAGCUCUCUGGCGCAGCGUUGGCUCAUUGAUGCGCGUUACAAUCGGAAUACGCCCAUCAACACUUACGCUCCUUCCAAACAGUUGGAAGCAAAAUCAGUCAUUACCUAAAGAGCAAUCUAAGCACAAAGAGAAAUGGUAACCUCAAGUCUUUUGAUGAUUUUCGCUUGUUCAUUGAAGCAAGACGAAGAUUAAAUUCAUGGUUUUCACAGUCUGGCAGAGUAACACAGGACUUUGCACGCCAUGGCAUAUUUUUUAUUAUUUUUUCUGUGUCCUGAUAAAGUUGCUUUCAAGUAUAUGUUAUUGUCUUUUCGUCUUCCUUCACCAUAGAAAAAUAUGUGACCAUUUGAUGUUCAUUUUAUAAGAAGAAACAAUAUCUAUCAGCUCUUAAUAUGCAUAUGCCUGUUAUUUCAGAUUUUCAGCCUGGCUGACAUAUGCCAACCGGCCGGAGCUGCUUCAGCUUGCAAGAGAAAAAGUAAACAAGAGCUACAGGCUGUGCUCUAAGCAUUUCACAAGGGACAGCUUCACCAGUGACACCUGCACAAGGCUGACACGUGAAGCUGUCCCUUCAGUGAAAGUGAAGGAGCCUCACCUGAAGGCUCUGGUGCACCCAGAUUUUUACGAUGAACAGGCGGCACAUGGCUCUGGUUCCACCACAGCACCACAGCCCACCAUGAGCACUGCAACAACGUUGCUUGGGC
rnacentral:lncRNA from 1 species